ACAAUGGCCCAGAAAGCAAGAGAAACUCCAAAGCAUCAACACCAAAAUGGAAAUCAAGAUAAGAAUCCAAAACAGAGGGUGGCAAAAGCAAGGAGGCAGCAGAAGGGGCAGAGCCCAGAGGCCACAGUGUAUGAUGGGAGAGACCUCUGGCUGAGCCACCACCCCAGUCCCAGUGGAACAAGCUGAAGCACUCCAACUCAAUGGAACCGCUGCUUUAAACAACUCUCAAGACACUAUUCAUAAUAAGCCUGGAGUUCUUU
rnacentral:lncRNA from 1 species